AUGCAGGCCCACACAGCCCUGGGUCAGGUUUUUCUCCAUGAAAAUGAAGGCUUUCCCAGCAUCCUGGGUUUUAUCUUGCUCAUGUUGAGACACCUUCUGCUUGUCCUGGAAGAGAGUGAGGUCACCUCGCUGGUUUUGCACUUUUCAAGAAAUGCUCUUGGAGCCCUCAUGUUUCUCCUCGGCCAGUUAGCAGAAAAAGUGGCCUACAUCCUCUUGAACCACACCAUCAAGGUGGAAAUAGAAGCGCGGAGAGAGGUAUAACAAGGUGACUGAAUCUGCAAUCAGCUCCAUCAGAAAGUGAGGAUAAACGAGGAAAAGGCAGAAAGAUUUUCUGCCAUCUAACUGACAGAGCAUCCCCAGGGAAAUUUGCAGAGGAGGAAAACAUUGUUGAGAAUUACUACAAUAUACUACCUUUCAUCAAAGGUGCUUACUGUGAUUGAAACAUAUUAAUAAGCUUCCUUCUCAAAUUCCAGGAUCAAGAUUGUAAAGUAUUUACCAUUAGAAUAGGUUUGUAGAAGACCAUGCAUCUCC
rnacentral:lncRNA from 1 species